GGGUUCCGGCCAUGUGGUGCUUACCUCAGGCGCUCCCAGUUGGCAGCGCAGCAGGGCUAAGGCAGGCUGCCUACCUGCCCUGGCUCCGUGCUGCUCCAGGAAGUGGCCGGCAUGUCCGGCCCCUAGGUGGAAGCACAGCCAGGCGGCUCUGCGCAGUGUGCCCUUUUUUUUUUUUUUAUUUAAAGAGCUCUGGCUAUCAUCCCCAGGUGGCUGGGGCUCGUGAAGAAAGGCCGUGCACACCCAGGAGGUAGGGAUAAACGGGACAGCUGGAGCCCUGCCACCCGGACUUAGGCUCUCCUUCCCCUCCCACAAUCCUUCCUCUGGAAGCAGCAGGACUCUGGCUGUCAGCCCCAGGGUUGCAGCAGCAGCACAGAAGUAAGGGUGGCAAUUGGGAUCUAAGUCUGUGGUGAAAAGUGAUAUUGAUGAAUAUCACUUUUCACAUUGCCAUCCUUACUUCUGGGUUGCUGCUGGUGCGGCACUGCCCUCAGAGGUGAGUGGCAGUAUAUGUACUUGUGGGGGAGGAGACAGGACAUAAACAACUACAGACACAAGGAAUGGGGGCCGAAUCAAAUAAGUCUGAGAACUAAUGAACUAGAGAAUACAAACCUCUCCCAUGUUACCUUGCACUGGCAUUUUUAAAAUAUUGAUUUUCAUUCAUGGCACCUUUAAUGUGCCGUACUGCUAUUGGACACAUUUGUGAUAGAACUGCCAUUCCUAACAUUUCUUCUUUCUACAUUCCAGAAUCAUAAGGCCCAUUUACCAUAACUCCAUUCACUUGUCAAGCACUGAUACCUUGCAAUAUUGUAUUAAGUAUUUAAAAACUUCUUUUUGAAUAUAUUAAUAGUUGCAGUUUCACUUCUGCCUUUGGUAGCCUGUUAAAGGUUCUUUAUAUAGUAUACCCUGAUUUUAAGUAAUCACCAUUUAGGAUCCAGUCAUGAAUGCACUGAGCACCCUGAACACCCACUGAAGACCAUCAGGCCUUCAGUGAUGAGUCUUUCUUUAGCUUCAGUUUAUAUCCUCUUGUUUUUGAGCUAGUGAUCUUCCUGAGUACUUUUUGUGGCAUCUACUUUCCUUAUUUCUCUCUGUAGUGGGUUGGUGGUCAUCCCUCCCCCUCAGGCUUGGAGGUAGGCAACUCCGAUUCACUAUAUCACAGCAGUCAAAGUCCUUCAGCAGAGGAAUUAGCACAUCACCAGUCCAUAGCCCUGGCCCUUUAGGCAGAACCUGUCAACAAUCAGUCCUUAGCCUAGCCUCCUGGCUAGGGCAGACAGCAUGUACAAUCUGAUGCUCUGGCCCUCUGGUCAGGGCAGAGCAAGGAACAGUCUUUAACUCAGCCACCUUCUGGCUAGGGCAGGCAGCGAUCAACACAAUCAGGACCAUGAUCCUCUGGGUGGGACAGGGCAAUAGGCAGUCUUUAGCCCAGCCCUCUGGUCGGGGCAGACAGCAAUCAAUAGAGUCAGGGCUCUGCAGUGAUGCUGAAACAAUUUUUAUAGUGAGGGUGCUGAAGGCGGAAUCCAUGUAUUUGGGUUGUUAUUACUACUUCAAGCCAGGUGGUGCAGCAGCACCCCUAGUUCCAGCACCUAUGGGGCUCUGACCCUCUGGGUGGGGCAGAGCAACAGCAGUCUAAUGCCCAGCAGAUAGCAGACAAACACAGGCUGUUCGGCCUAAGGGUGGGGAGGCUGCCACCUCAGGGGUGGGAUUGGCAGAACGGGUAGGGGGUCCCAGCCCAGGGCCCUAAUAGUGAUGGGUCAGCAGGGAUCCUGCUGAAACACAGUGACUCGCACUCUGACAGCAAAACUGGACUAAAAACUGUUUUCUCUGAGCUACUUUCUACCAUAGUCCAAGGAUAGGGCUCCAUAGUCCACGGGUCCUCCAUUUCCUUUGGGUACUUGGCAGCUGGCAAUCCUAGCAGCUCCUUGGGGUACUCAUCAGAUGGCAGUCCUGGCAGCUCCUCAGGUUCUCCUCUAGGAGUAGGGGUUGGUUCAUCUCAGUCCCUGCUCCAGGGCCAGCAGCAAAGCAGAGGCAUCUGACUCCUUCCCUGUUCUCUCCCAACUGAGCUGGUCCAGGCUCUACCUCUUAUACUUCCUGUCCCAGCUCUCGUUUCUGGUGCAAGAUCCAGGCUCGCUCCAACCACCAGGGGGCGGUGAGUGGUCCCUCCCCACCAGGCUCGGCAGGAGGCCACUCUACCUCACUACAUUCUCAAAUUUUAUUUUCUUAAAUCCAGACGCAGAGCCCAAUCUUGUAUUUCUUGCACACUCAAAACUCUUGCUGACUUGAAUGAGAGUUUUGGGAAGAAAAAGCAUGCCCAUUCAGACUGCUGAAUCCACAGUUUGCAUAUGCCUGCUGUUUUUCACUGGCCCUGUUUGUAAUCCACAGUCAGAAAUUGGAAAAAUUAAUUGAACGACUUAAUCUAAGACAAAAUUUUAUUAGUUCUUCAAUUCAGAUUCAUAAGUAGCUAAUUUUAUUUAAUGUAUUAAAAUAGAAAAAAAAAGGCAAUAUUUUGGUCCAGAUCCUAGCCCCUGCUCUGACUCCUUUGUGUUACCAGAGUAUCACAAAGGGCCUAGAAAGUGUUAGCAUUCCCCCAAGAACUCUUCCACUUAGUUCCUCAGGAACUCAGUUUGACUCCAGUCUUGUCACUCAGGUUCUUUUAUUUGGCAUACAGCAAAGCUACACUGUGUAGAUUAGAUUCAAGUGUAGAGCGGUGGGUAUAGGGCGUACCACACAUCCAAAGUUACACAGGAAAACUUUACCUUAUAUCCAUUUUUACUAACACUAAUAACAUACGAAUUCUUAACUAUACAUUGUAUCCUAUGCUUCCUGAUGGGCUUGGUUAUUUUUUAGGAACCAAUCCCUGGGCAGCAUGCUCUCUCCAUGUAUAACCUGAUUUUUACAUUUUAGGUUUAUCUUGUCCGUUGACCCUAGCUCCAGGGUGUUCCUGCUUAUCUUAGCUAGCAACAGACAUCCUGACUCCAGCACACUGCUUGUUAAACCCCUAUUAACAACUUAACCUUUUAUACCAUGUAGACUAAGAAAUGAGGUCUUACUUAUGUCAAGUUACUGAUGCCCAGCCAGGCCUACAGAAAGCUGCUUUAUAAGAGCAGCUAAGGGAGGAUUAAAUCCCCAUCUAUAAUCGAACUCCCCCAGCAUAGGGUGAGUAUUGGGGGAUGGUGGAGAUUCUAUUUCAAUGAUCCUUGCCUAGCAUAAUAGCCCCGAGGGGAUUGUUACAAGUUGCUAGAAUUUAAAGUAUCCUGAAUAGAGUUCUAAGGCAGCUGAGGAUCUGGCCUUUUAUGUGGUGGUAAGAAAAAUCCAUAUUUGGAUAUAUGCAUAAUUUCAGUGCACAGUAGCUCACUCACAUGUGGGAAAUAAAAAGAUGUAUUAGUGGCAACAUACAUUUUUAUCUGCAGAGAAUAUAGUAUUCCAUAUUUAUUAUAAUAAUUAACAAUGUGAGUAACUGCUCUGUGUUGUAUCAUGAGUUUGUUUACAGACUAACAAUAAUCUUGAUAUUCUUAAAAGUAGGACUGAACUCAAGAUUAAGUAUGUAUGAGCAACACAUGCCAUCAUAGAUAAAUUAUAUAUAUCAUUGGCCAUGUAAAGACUGCAGGAACAGGCCCUAAAAGUAAAAAGUGUAGUGCUUUAGCAGCUUCCGCUCAUAUAACUGCAGCAACUUAAACUAACUGUCUGAGCUCUAGUGGAAAAACAUUUUUUUUUCCAGAAACAAAACACUUUGUUCUUAUGUUUUUAAUUGAGUGAUAGAAAAAUACUUCUGUGUGGUCAUUCUUGCUAGGAGAGUCAAACCCACAACAUUUUCCAUUUUGCACUGUUUAUUUCUUUCUUGGCUAGAAGAUGCCUUUAUGAACUGGAUUUAUAAACUAUUAGGCUGAGGGGAUAGAAUGUUUUCUAGAAAGGUUCAUUCAGCAGUAUAUUACAGCUUCAAGGAGUGCCUUCUAACUAUGUUUGUUUUUCAAAAGAAAAAACCUGGCUAGUUAAUUGAAGCAGAGCCAAAUUCACUGCACAAAUUACUUUGGGGAAAUCAAUAGUAUUACUCCAGGGAUUAGUUUGGCCCUUUAGUUUUUGGAAUAUGUCUGAUUGUGGUCUCUUGAAACUAGGUUGUUUAUAGGUAGAAGUUACAUGAUUCCCAACUUUUUGUCUGGAAAAAAUAUGAAAAGAAUAGACAAUAUUUUUACUGAGCUAUUUGAGAACACAUUUCUGGCUAUGCAUUCAGGACUAAAUAAGGAGCAAGUUCUGUGCUAAAAAUAGAAACUGAGGCUGGUCCAGCUGCAGCAUGAGUUGUAAUCCUUGUAGAUUUAAGGGGGAAGGAUGGUUGGUUCAUGUGAGGACAUCGUAAUAUGGAGACUCAAAAUCACCUUUGUCUUGUUCCUAGAAGGCCAUCAUAUCCUACCUGAUGUCUUAAACUUUGCUGCCUGUUAGCAGAAUGGUAUCGAAUUAUAACAGCAGUUUGUUUGAUCUACUACUUCACAGAUAGGAAAAUACUUUUUAAGAUUUUAGGGAAAAUUAUGACUUGUUUUAUGUAGGUUUGCUUGUGUGGAGGACAUGGGGAAAAGGGCAGAGACUUGGUACCUUCACAAGAACUGGGCAGAAUACGUAUCUAGCGCUCCCUUGAGAAUUAUGCUAGCAUGCCUGCCAAUGCUCCAGGUAUCGAAGAGGGCAUAGUCAGCCAACUUGGGGGUUUGGCCAGGUCUCUAACCCUCUUCACAAAUGCUGCUGUUGGCAGCAGGUACAAAGGAAUUGGUGAUGCUGCUCCUUUUGGGAACAGCCAUAAGGAGCACUGCAGAAUGCAUUGCUUGCCCACUGAUCUCCUCGCCGACCUACCCUUUGUCAGCAGCAUGAUUCUCAAAUUACCUUGCCGUGUAUUCCCCGAUAUUUAUCGAAUGGUUACCGUGUACUGGUUCUGUUUGGGAAACGUAACCAUUAAAUGUUUGGGUUAUAAUCAGGUCCCUGUGGACUCUAGUGCAGAGCAAGUUUGAUCUAAAUUCUGCUGCAUUCCAGACUGAAAAUGCUGCAUUAGCUUCAGAUAAUUCAUUAAAAUCUACAUCUAAAAAUUUAAGUAUGUGAAAAUGAAUUCCAUCAGAAGUGUGUCCUCACCACUAUUUUAAUUUGAUAUUAAAUUAAAUUUUAUGCUGUUCCUACAUUUUUAAUUUUCAGUGAGCUUCAGAAUUUUAUAUUGAAAAUAAUAUGUAACGUAUGUAUUUUGACAUGUUGAUUACAGAAUUUGUCAAGGAAGCUGAAAUUUUGGUAAUGGAGUAGGAGACAGUUGGACAGGAGUGCCAUUUGCGGAGGGCGGGGGGAGCACCUGCCCCCCUUUCCGAGUUUCGAAGCACAUUUGGGUGAAGUCUGCAGCAGGAGGAAAAAUGCUGUACCUUCCCCCCUCCUCCCCGCUGCCCUGCUUUGCUGCCCUCUGCAGCUGCACUGCUCCUGCCCCCUGCCAUGGAGCCUCCAGUGGCUUCACUGCUUGGGACCAGGAGCCUGCCUCCUGAUCUGCUGUGUACAUCUAUACGGGAGCUGAUGUUGGGGUGUCCCUCUAUCUCUUCCCGCGUCCUCAGUCUCCACUAAGUGGGGUGGGAGGGACAGAGAGCCUGCCUGUGCUGCUGCCUUUGGCUCAGGAGUGGGUGCUGCUGCUGUACUGAGCAAGCAUUCAGGCUCCUGAGUGUUUGGCUUAAAGAGACAGCAUGCUGACACUCAGGCACACAUACAGUCUUCCACACGCACUCCCCCCAACACAUGCUCUCUCUCUCUCUCUGUGUCUCUCCCACACACACAGAGUCUCCCUCACACACUUCCCCAACACACACACGCACACACACACACACACACACACAUGUGUUAUUAUUAUUGUUGUCAUUACUUCUUGAUACUUCCAGUCAAAAUGUGCAAUGCACAUCUAUUUUCUGUAAUUUUAUUCUUUCAAAGUUUGUUAAGGCUUAAAGUACUGUUAUUUUAGUUACAGUAGUUAUAUUUAGUUUUUUGACUCAUCUGUGCAUUUCAUUACUUUAUUUCUCUUUUAUGCUUAAAUGUAAUUCUUUGAGUAGUGAGUUCUAAAAUACCUAACCUGUCCUGGCUUGGGUAAUUAUCAUAAUUACUUUUAUUACCAUAUUGUGCUUCGUCAUUCAUUAUUUAAAAGUGGUACAAUCAAAUAAUAGUAUCCUUCUAGAAUGUAAAUUUAGCUUGUACUCAACCUAGCAUUGCCAGUUUAAAAAAAAAUUUAGCUAAACACAUAACUUUAGACACUGUGCAACUGCAGAUCACUUAUUUUCAAAUUGUAUUUUAGUUAUAUAUGUAAAAUUAAAUUUGAUUGAAAAUAAAUGUGGUUCCAAGUCUGAUACUAAUAGUAAUGAUGAGUUGGUGUUAUGUUGGUGAGUUACAUACAUGAUUGUGAUCAGCAAACAUAAAUUCCAAAAUAAUUAGAAAAAUAAUUCCUGUUCUUAAUAAAAGAGAAAAAAACUUAAUCACAUACUUUAAAAUUAAAUAAAUAUAUGUUUAGUGGAGUGAAAAACAAUUGACUAAAAUAGAGGCAGUAACACAGAGUGUGUCUGUUAGAAAAAGUAAGCAGAUUUUAAUUAUUUUAAUUUAUCUCUACUAAAGAUAGUGUACAAAGUAUCAAACCUGUGUUUCUGAUAUCUGUGUUAAAGCCCCAGAACGGGUAUCUCCAGGUUUGGGAUUGGGAAUAUCUUGCUGUAUUAAAUCUCCUGAUUGUUCUAAAUAUAAUAUAAACAUAAAAUAUGGCUUUAAUUGGUGUUUGUGUAUAUUUUUUCUUUCUUUAUAUAGGUACAGUGCUCCUGUCAGCUAAUUUCUAAGUUAUUAGCUGUAAAAAACCUAGAGCUUUCAGGUGCCUUCAUAGCCCCUGGAAUCACAAAGCUCCCCCUCCCCAAAAAUCUGAAAUGGUGCCCCUGCAGUUGUACCUUUUGACAUCUGGGAAAGUGUGAAAAGACGGUUUGAAUUUAACCUAAUCACAAUAUCUUCCCUUAUCUCUGUGAACCAUAUGAUAGUCAUGGACAGCAGCCAAAAGUCUGCCUUCGUCAAAUGGUUUAUUAUUUCAAAGAACAAUGUGGCAUUAAGGCAACUCAUCUUCUAUUAUUCAAAACAUAUUCAAAAUGCUACAUAUUCAAAAUGCAGGUAAGUACAAUGUAUGAUACACUAUUGAGUGAUAAGGGUUGUGCUAUUACAGAAAUGAUAGGAGAUAACACUGACAUUAUAUCGGGAUAAAUAAGUCAGUGGUUCCAUAUGGAUUCCUAUUUUUACUGUUAAUUUUUAAGUUAAUAAAACAUAGGCCUUAAUUCUACAAAUGCAAACAGUCUCAGAACUAUGGGAACUAAUGGGAGUAAAUGGUUAAUGAUAUGUGUCAGUAGGGCUUUCAGGAUCUGGCCAGACUUAAUGAUGUAAGAAAUUGAGGGGCUGGGGUUAAAAAAAAGUAUAUAGGAAAAACAUCCUUUUGGGUAUGAAUUAGCUCCAGUGCAAAAAUGGUUUCCUAGUAAUGAGUUACUUCUUAUUAUUUGUAUUCUGAUAGUGCACAAUCUGCUAGGCACGUUCUAAGCACACAGGAAAGUACAUUUGUUCUCCUGAACCGAUAGUAAUCUACAAAGCAAACAACAUAUGAAUGGCAGGGAAGAGGAAGACAAUCAGAACAUGUACAGGUGUAUACUUUU